UCAUUUAAUCGUUUUAACAACUUGUAUUAACAUGUGAUCAACAUUUAAAUAACAUCGGGAAAUGAAAUUAAGAGACAGACUUAGACUGAUAUCAUACCAAAAUAAAUACGAAAAUGCCAACAUGUAUCUCUACCCAGAAACCGGUGUCACACUAUCCACGGAUUAUCUAAGAAUACUACAUAUAAAUUUUUGAAAAAGAAAUACAGUAUGUCUCGGAUACAAGUAAUAACAAAACAUAAUAAUAUAUAGAAGAGUACGUCGGGCCUGCAGACGCCUGCAGCACUACCUCAGGAUCUUUGUGAACUGAAGGCUGACUCCCCAAGUACUACUAUCCCAAUUGUCACACUUCCUUUUUACCGCUCCUGCAAGGGGCAAAGGGAGUUUUUCCAAAUAAAGGACAAUCAAAACGAGAUUUGCUUAAUUAAUUCAGAGUCUCCACUUGAGAGAUUUAUGGUGUCCCAAGUCACCGGUUGAAUCCCAAAUCGAGGAAAAGAAUGACUCUAUUUAACAGUCCGCGUACCAGAAAUCCGGAUAAGAAAUUCUGUUAACCCGGGAGAAGGUGUUAGGCAUUCCCGAGUUUCGUGGUUCUAGCACGGUCGCUCAACUGUCGUAUUUAGAUUAUUUAUCUGAUUUUAAUACAUAUGAACCUAUGUGCCAAUUUUAACUUUUAACCGCUUUAAUUUAAUUUAAUAAAGAAAAUUAAACGUCGUCUCACAUAUGUCUUUGGAUUGCGCCGCAUGAAAUAAACUGCGAUCCUGGACACAUAUGAUUCGACGUUUUGGGAUUUAAAUUUGGGUCGCAUGAAAUGCACACCUGAGUUUAUGGAAGAUAACAUUAUUAAAUACGCGCCUAAAGAUGCUAAGGCGUUAUUAUUCUUGAGAAGGCAGUGAAAUUCGCUAAACGGCCUAUCCCGAAAUCUACGGAGUUAAUAUAUACAUUUAUGAGGGCCCACAGUUUGUGCCUUUUUAUUUGGCGAGGCACGUCACAUUUAUUUUAAAAGGAAAAUCCUAAAAUGACUACAUUUUCUUUAUUAAGUUCGUCUCUAAAUAUAAAAAAAAAUCCUAAUUUAUUUACAUGCUUUGCGAGCGGGUCUCUUAUUAGUUAUUAGAUUUGUAAGAGAGGAUAACAGAAAAAUGCACUCGAACUCGAAAGGUGAAAAAUUUUCUUCAUGCCUUAUUCAAUAAACGAACUAAUAAAGCUGACAUGUGUACGAGAUUGACAAAAUAUUGAAAACGAACUAACCAUUCUCCAAAUUGAUUUAAACUAACAUUUCUAACAUUGAUUUAGACUAAUGGAAUUAACGGCUAGAAAAUGUUAUCAACAUGGAUGCUAAUAUUUGGCCUAAAUACUGCCUAACGGAAUAGAGUGCUACCUAAUUAAACAAUGUUCCUACAUGAUUCCAAAACAAGCCUUUUGUUCAAUGAGGUACUAUCUGGUAUUUGGAAAUAGUCUAAAGAGCCUAACAUGCUUUUGAGAUGUACUAUUUAACAAGUAAUACUGAAACCAUAGAACAUGAUUUGUACAACAUCAAUCAAUUUUAACUAAGCAUGUGAGGAUGGAGGUUUACAACUAAACUACUACAGAAUAUUGUUCAGUUAUACAUAGCCCACACUUACGUGAUUUGAGUUGAAGACAUGAACUAUUAUAUGUAUGUAGCUUAAUGUUCAAUAUACAACUAAAAGGAAUUCAAAACAACUUCAACUAUUAAUUUUUCAUUCAUGCUUCUAAUUUCAGCUUACAUUGAGCCAGUGUAUCAGUUGUGUAUCUGGUAUUUGGAAAAGCAAAGAGGAGAGGAAGAUCAGUAGAAGCAGUAGUAGCACAACAAUAGCAGUACGACUAACCAGUAGAACAUCCAGUAACAAACACCACAGGAAACCCCAGGAAUAGAUUAACCAAGCAGAAAACCAAGAUGCUCAAUGGAACAAGUACUCUAGACCCAAUAAAAAUCCAACAGUAAACCCAGGAAACACCACUUGAAUACAAGUAGUACUAGAAACAAACACAGACAAACAUAGAAGUAACCAAUUGCAAAAGAAGCAAUAACUUUUGAUUUUUUUAGCACUCAAGAAAGAAGCUUGAAGCUUCAAUGAAACAAUAGCAAUUAAUGCUAAUUUCAACAGUGAAGGAAAGCAGAAUCAUCUCAAUUUUUUGCUAUCAAAGUCUGAAAUUCUUAAGAUUCAAAUUUUUUUAUAUCUCCUCUUAAGUUCUGAAAAUCUGAUCUCAAUAUUCCGUUCUCUAUCUCACUCUAGACUCUCUCUCCAAAACAUCCAGUUUCUAAUUAAUCAUCAACUCUAUGUAUUUAUAGUAACCCCCUAGAUCUUCCCUCCUUUGAAAAACUUCACUUACCCGACCAACAAUCCCAAAACAUCUGCCAAUUUUUACCUAAAUCCCACUAAGGAAUGCUUUUCCUUAUUUUAUUCCCUAAAUUAAGGCAUGAUAUAAGGGCUUGCUCCCCACUAGCAUUAGACUAAUGCAUAAGUUCUUGUCUUAUUAGUGCUUGACUAACAGACCAUUAACUUAGUCAAUUAUGAUCAUUUUUCAUUCCCAAAAUACCCCUAUAAUCCUACUUUUAUUACUGCCCUGCCCUUAAAAUCAGUAUUAAAUCAAAUUAAUUCUUAAAAAUCUAUUUAAUCCUAAAAACUAACCAGAACUAACGUCUGAUUAUUCAUUGAAUUAUUACAGCUAUAUCAAAUCCAUAUCCUAAGUUCAAUCACUGAUUGCAGAAAGGGUGCUAAUCAAAUGGCAUGAGUUGGUCACAUUGCGAACCAAUCCUGACCAACUCAACACCAAUUGAUCAAGCAGGCAUUUGAUAAUGCAAACUAAGAUUGAAGCAAUACUGAACAUGCAUAUCAAUGCAAGUCUUAACACAGAAGAGAGAACAUGUUGGAAAUUAUACUGGAAUGAACAAUCAUGCUUCUCUAGUUUUUCAGGUGAUUUCAGUUGACGACACUUAUUUAAUCAACCAUAUAAGCUAUAAUAACAACAAACACAGAGUAUACAAACAUGUUGAUGCAUGCUUUGGGGCAAAAUAGGGGACCAAAUAUGAACUAAUUACUUGACGAUUUUAAUCAAGUUAAACACAUAGCUCAUCACACAAAUAUAUUUAACAAUCAAGCAGAAGAAUCGACCAAAUAAAAGGUCAAUCAGAGAUAAAUAGAACAAAAUGGAAGAAACUGAAAGAAAAUCAAAUGAGAACUAAACUAAACAGGUAAACAGAUAAAAAUAUAGAAUCAAAGGAGAAGAAAAUAGAUACCUUAGAAAUGAAGCCAAGGGCGGACAACUCGAACUCGAACAACUUUGAGGUCGAACGGACCUUAGUUAAAGUGUUCUCGACAGAGAACACGUCGACUAAUGUCGAUUAGACCCCAAAUCUCCUUUUAUGUAAGCUAGACUCCCUGAUUUAGAUUUCUAGGGGUUCUUGAGGGCCUGAUUUGGGGUUCGAACUUUCUGGUUAGAUUCAAACCAAAACAAGCUUGUUUUGUCAUGAGGGAAGUCAGGGGAUUGUCUGAUGUGAGUUUAGGGCCGGUCAGUAUAAGUUUCCGUUUGGUUCAAAUCUUUAAAUGAAGAUUCGAGAAGUUCUGGGAAGAUUCGAACCAAACGGUUGCUAUAUUUGGAACGGGGUUGGUUAGAUGGUUGUAGGGUGUUAAGAUGGUGUCCGGCAGUGUCAUUGCCGCCGGGUUUCUGGUGAAGGAAUGAGGGGGCAGCUAGCUAGGGUUUUUGGGUGUUUGGUCUCUCUGAAAGAGACGAAGAGAGAGACGAAGGGUGUUUGAAUGAGGUGGGGUUGAG
rnacentral:lncRNA from 1 species